CCUAGCCAUGCAAGCACUGCAGGUGUAUCUGCUGCAUCACAUGUGCUUCAGUAGGUGGCAGAAAGGAGGGAGGCUAUAUCUAUGCUUAGUGUUCUGACCUAAAAAACAGCUAAAUGAUUAGUAGCCUACAUU